GAUGAACGCUGGCGGCGUGCUUAACACAUGCAAGUCGAACGGAAACGCUCCUGCUUGCAGUGGUUCUCCAGUGGCGCACGGGUGAGUAUAACGCGGGUGAACUCCCCUGCACUUCGGGAUACGCCUGGGAAACUGGGCUUAAUAUCCGACAGGACGCUGCUGUGCUUGAUGUAGCGGAGAGUUUUUCGGUUUGGGAUUGGCUGGUGGCCUAUCAUCUUGUUGGCGGGGUAAUGGCCUACCAAGGCGUCGACGGGUAGACGGCCUGGGAGGGUGUGCGGCCACAUUACGACUGAGAUGCGGCCCAGACUCGAACGGGAGGCAGCAGAGGGGAAGGUUGCACAAUGGGAGCGAGCAUGAUGCAGCGACGCCGCGUGGGGGAUAACGGCCUUGGGGUUGUAAACUCCUUUCGCGAGGGACGAAGCGCAAGUGACGGUACCUGGAGAGGAAGCACCGGCUAACUACGUG
rnacentral:rRNA from 1 species